CGCGCAGGCUGUCCUCCAAGUCAGUGGUGAAAGCCCGGAGCUCAACUCCGGAAUUGCCAUUGAAACUGUUGGACUGGAGUACGAGAGAGGUGAGUGGAAUUCCCAGUGUAGAGGUGAAAUUCGUAGAUAUUGGGAAGAACACCGGUGGCGAAGGCGGCUCACUGGCUCGUAACUGACGCUCAGGCGCGAUAGCGUGGGGAUCAAACAGGAUUAGAUACCCUGGUAGUCCACGCCGUAAACGAUGAAUGCUAGCCGUUGGAUAGCUUGCUAUUCAGUGGCGCAGCUAACGCAUUAAGCAUUCCGCCUGGGGAGUACGGCCGUAAGGUUGAA
rnacentral:rRNA from 1 species